GGUGGAUUGAUGGGCGCUUGUGUGUUCAGCCUUCGGGUGCAUUGGCACAAGUGCUUAUCCGCUGUGGGUUCUCGGGGGUCGAUUUUGGAUCCCUGGGGACUGAGGGCUCCCUUUUUGGUGAGGACAGCGGAGUGACGACGCGAUACGACCCGUCUUGAAACACGGACCAAGGAGUCUAGCGCGGGUGCGAGUCGGAGGGUGCAAGCCCGUGGGCGAAGUGAAAGCGAGUUUAAAAACGAGCAGUUUGGGGCGGCAUAAGAUCGUUGAUCUUAAGACCGACCCAGAGCAGUUGCGCUGGGACCCGAAAGAUGGUGAACUAUGCCGGAGUAGGGCAAAGCCAGAGGAAACUCUGGUGGAGGCUCGUAGCGGUGCUGACGUGCAAAUCGCUCGUCGAACUUGGGUAUAGGGGCGAAAGACUAAUCGAACCAUCUAGUAGCUGGUUCCCUCCGAAGUUUCUCUCAGGAUAGCGGGCCGACAAGUUGUUUUGUGCGGUAAAGCGAAUGAUUAGCGCAAUCGGGGGCGUUUAGCCUUCGGGCGAUUCUCAAACUUUCAAUGCGCAAGGGUGCCGCUGCUUAAUUGAGCGGUACCGGUAAAAACGUCGGCCCUGUGGGCCACUUUUGGUAAGCAGAACUGGCGAUACGGGAUGAACCGUAAGCAAGGUUAAGGCGCCAAACUGCCCGCUUAUAGAUCCCACAAAAGGUGUUGAUUCAUCGAGACAGCAGGACGGUGGCCAUGGAAGUCGGAAUCCGCCAAGGAGUGUGUAACAACUCACCUGCCGAAUGAAUUAGCCCUGAAAAUGGAUGGCGCUUAAGCGGGCGGCCGACACCUUGCCGUCUGAACAAGAAUUUCAGAUGAGUAGGAGGGCGUGGCGGCCGUGUCGAAGCGCGCGUGCAGACGCGUGUGGAACGGCCGCUAGUGCAGAUCUUGGUGGUAGUAGCAAGUAUUCAAGCGAGAUCCUUGAAGGGCGAAGUGGGGAAGGGUUUCACGCGAACAUUGAUUGGGCGUGAGUGAGUCGUUCCUAAGCCGAGUGGCAAUUGCUAAUUAACGGCGAAAGGGAAGCGGGUUGACAUUCCCGCACACGGAUGUGGAGGCGGCGACGCAUUAUUGGGGCGAACACGCUGGCGAUGGCGCUGGGCAGAGUUGUCUUUUCUGUUUGACCGCUUGCGCACGCAGUGUGGAAUCCGCUUGUAGGGAGAAACACGCGUGUUCGGGCAGAGCGCUGGGUCUUUUCCAGCGUUCAGCUCGCCAUCGACGGGCCCUUGAAACUUUGCCUGCUGGGUUUAANGAUCCACGCCGGUGGCGUACCGAUCACCGCAUCAGGUCCCCAAGGUGAACAGCCUCUGCUCAAUAUGAAAAAUGCAGGUAAGGGAAGUCGGCAAAUUAGACCCGUAACUUUGGGAAAAGGGUUGGCUCUAGUGCUGCGUGGGAGUGGUUGUCGGACGCUGGCGUUUUUAGCGUGGCGGCUUGGCGCGGGACCCCCUCGGGGGACCUGUUCCUGCUGCUACGCCGAUUGCGCCACGGCCGACGACGCCCACAGCAUGC
rnacentral:rRNA from 1 species